rnacentral:lncRNA from 1 species
AUAAUAUAUAUAAGAUCAAAAUCUAAACUAAUCAGUUUGUAAAUGCUCGACAUAAAGCAAAUACUCUCAAAUCUUAAUGUAAGAAAGUAUCGACUUAUGCCUAGUCCAUAUCUCAUAUGGAGUCUUUGCAACUGAUUAAUUCAGAAUCCAGUUCAGAACAUAACAGGCAGUCUUAAGAACAUAACCUUAAAUAGAGACUGGCAGACUUGUAAACCCCAUCAUAGAUCGAACUAUGUUUAGAAAAGUCAAUUCCAACAAGAGAGAAUCCUAUUCUCUUCUAGAUAUAUCAAAACUUACUUGAAAUGCAUUCUCCUCUUCGGUC